rnacentral:tRNA from 1 species
GGGAAUAGAUGGGUGCUGGUGUGCCUUCUGGUCUUCAAAACCAGUUCGAGGGGUUAAGAGCCUCUUGGGUGGGUUCGAUUCCCACAUAUUCCCGCCA